rnacentral:rRNA from 1 species
UACGUAGGGAGCAAGCGUUGUCCGGAAUCAUUGGGCGUAAAGCGCGCGUAGGCGGCCUCAUAAGUCCGUUGUGAAAGUCAAAGGCUCAACCUUUGAAAGCCGAUGGAUACUGUGAGGCUAGAGUCCGGAAGAGGCGAGUGGAAUUCCUGGUGUAGCGGUGGAAUGCCCAGAUAUCAGGAGGAACACCGGUGGCGAAGGCGGCUUUCUGGACAGUAACCGACGCUGAGGCACGAAAGCUAGGGGAGCAAACAGG